rnacentral:rRNA from 1 species
ACGCUCGACACCUACGGGGCAGCAGUGGGGAAUAUUGCACAAUGGGGGAAACCCUGAUGCAGCGACGCCGCGUGAGCGAAGAAGUAUUUCGGUAUGUAAAGCUCUAUCAGCAGGGAAGAAACUGACGGUACCUGACUAAGAAGCACCGGCUAAAUACGUGUCAGCAGCCGCGGUAAUCUGAGCGGGCUGGCAAGGC